rnacentral:lncRNA from 1 species
AUUUGACCCCCUCCCGUGCCCUCUCCUCAGCACUGUGCCAGCAGAGGGCCCCCAUCGGCUACCAGGACUACUACUACGCACUGACCACGAGCACCACCCUCCGCUGCAUCACCAACUGCACGGCCAACACGCCCGGCACCAUGGACUGCCACCACGGCGAGUGCCACGUCACCCGUGCCGGGCCACAGUGCUUCUGCCAGGAUGAAUCUCUCUACUGGUACACGGGCAGCCGGUGCUCCGGGCGCGUCAGCAAGGUGUCCACAGGGCUGGGGGUGGCGGUCAUGGUGCUGUUCAUUGCCUGCAUCACCAUUACUGUGCUGCUGGUGAUACGGAGGAAGAGCAGGAAGAGGAACACUUCAGCCUCCGUUGAUGAGAACUGGUACGAGGAUGAAGGCAGCACCUGGACGGCAUCCAACGGCUUCGUCCUCAAGAACAAAAACUCCACCGAACCAGGUGACAGCCUAAAGAGCUUCACGGCCUCACAGCAACGGGUGAACACCAACAUCCCGAUGCAGAUCACCAGACCCUCAGUGCGACCCCAGUUGUGACCCAGGUCUUCGCUGGCCCCUCCUCACCUCAUUGCCCACCAGCACUACCAGGACCUUCUCAAUGACGCUCAUUCCAAGGACAACGUUGCCUCCUGCUCAUCUUGGUGCCAACCAGAACUUCCAGAACCUUCUCAAUGACGCUGAUUCCAAUAUCAUCGUUGGCUCCUCCUGACCUCAUUGCCCACCAGGACCUCUAGGACCUUCUCAACAACACUGGUUAAAAGGACUAUGCUGCCUCCUUGUCACCUCAUUGCCCACCAGCACUUCCAGGACCUUCUCAACAACUCUGCUUCCAAGGUCAUCGUUGGCUCCUGCUCACCACAGUGCCCACGGGAUUUAUGGGGCUG